rnacentral:SRP_RNA from 1 species
CCGUGCUAGACGGGGAGGUAGCGGUGCCCUGUAACUCGCAAUCCGCUGUAGCGAGGUUGAAUUCCUGUUUGAGGUGUGGUUACGCAGUUCCGACAUGUCGCUUGUCGCGUUGAUCCCGGAGUCCUCCGCAAGGGACGCCCAUGAACCCGGUCAGGUCCGGAAGGAAGCAGCCGUAAGUGGUCACGUUCUUGUGUUGGAGGGUCGCUUCGGGGGAGCGGCGGCGGCAUGUACGGCUGGAUGGCCAUGAUCGAGGACAGGUGCACGG